GCUCUGACAGAUCGGCUUGAUUCAGAGGAAGUGGCAAGCUGGCAUAUCACAAGAAGUUCUCUAUUGAGCUACUCUCCAUGAAGUUUCGAUGAGUGAAGAUCAGCAACGAAGUGCAAGGCCAACUGGUGCCAAAGCGUGGUUAGCAGAGACUAGCAAAGCCAUGCAAGGCAUCCCAAAGCAGGAGCCUUGUCCCACCAUCUGCGGUCCUUCCUAUUCAUAUUCUUUCUAAACAUCACGUGUCUUUUCACUUGUCUGCUUUGGUGAAACAUCCUCUCACCUGUGUCUGCUUCAGCACAACAUCCUUUCACCUAUCUGCUUCAACAAAAUACCCUUUCACCUAUCUGCCCCAGCAAAACAUCGUUAUGACCUGAGUCUCCAAAGGAACCAGAAAUUUCCACUUCACGAAACACUUCUGAUUCAUUGUCUUUAGAGAAUGUGCUACAAUGACCCUGUUUCCCCCCACCUCACCCCCGGGGAUGAAGGGACAGGGUUCAUGUGGCUGAGGUUAAUCUUUAGCUCCUAACCCUCCUGCCUCUACUUCUGGAUUUCUAGGAUUACUGGCAUGCUCCAUCACUGUGCAGGGCUAGGGUUCAAACCAAGGACCUGAUGCAACCGGAGCCCUCUACCAACUGAGCCUCACACCCAGUCCUGAUUCUCCUCUUUGUAAAAGGAAGGAAUAUGAAUGAGGCUGGGUGAUCUGAUGUCUAAUGUUCUGCUUUGAUACUUUAUUUCAUACCCAAGACUCAGUCUUCCUGGGUGUCUAUAGGCUGAUCUUUAAAAAAGGAAUCACUAUUCACAAACCCUCUUGCACUCACAAGGAGACAACAGCAGCUGGGGAGCUGCCGGAAGACCUGAGCUUGAAUCCCUAGGAGCCAUAGUGGAGCUCCAACCCCACAGCUCCUACACCAAGAAAGGAGAAUCCACUAACACUCUAGGAAUAGCUAGCCUGCCUUCCACAGCCUAAAAAAGGAGAUUCCUUCUCAAACAAGAUGGAUGGCAAGAACCAACACCAGAGGUGUAGUGGAGUAUAGACCCAUAUUAGAUUCACACAUGCAACGAUGGAAGGGAGGAAGGAGGCAAGGAGGGAGAAAAGGGAAGAGGGAAAAGAAACAUGCUGGGCUCAAGAGAUGGCUCAGCGGUUAAGAGCACUGACUCCUCUUCCAGAGGUCCUGAGUUCAAAUCCCAGCAACCACAUGAUGGCUCACAACCAUCUGUAAUGAGAUCCAAUGCCCUCUUCUGCAUACAUAACAAAUAAAUAAAUCUUUAAAUAAAAUAAGAAAAAUGAUCUGGACUGAGGGUAUAUAUAUAUGUACAGUUGAUUGGUAUAUUUUCAUUUUUAAUUUUUAAGCAUAUAUACUUACAUUUAUUUACUUAUUUGUUUAUACACGUGUGCCACAGCACAAGAGCAGAAGUCCAAGAACAAUAUGUGAGAGCAGGUGCUUUCCUUUGGUUUAACUCCUGUCAUCAGGUUUAUUGACAAGUGCCUUUACCCAUGGAGCCAUCUCACCAGCCCAGGAGUAGAAUUUUGAAUAAUGCUUACAUUAGUCAACAGUUUCUCAAAAUGACAGAACACUUGCCCAGAGUGCACCAAGGCCUGGUUUCUAUCACCCCAUGCUCUCUAUGUGUGUCAUCCAGUGUGAGUUUAUGUGCACCAUGUGUGUGCAGAAGAUUUCGGAGGCCAUGGAGGGUGUCAGGGACUAGAAUUAGAGGCAGUUGUGAGCUGCACAGUAGGGAGUAGGAACCAAACCAGGGACCUCUGCAAGAGGUAAGUUCUCCCUCCCUCUCUCUGUCUCUCCCCCUCUCUCCUUCCCUCCCUCUCAGUUUUUUUUAAACAAGGUUUCUUUGUGUAGGCCUGGCUGUCCUGGGUCUCACUCUGUAGACCAGGCUGUCCUCAAAUUCACAGAGAUUCCGCCUGCUUCUGCCUCCUGAGUGCUGGGAUUAAAGGCGUGUGCCACCACCGCUAGGCAAGCAAUG
ensembl:lincRNA Gm43409 predicted gene 43409